CAUAUCGGAAUGAUCAGCCACAGUCAAAUACACUGCACCUUGACCCCAAGGAGGGUCAAGGACAUCAUCGGUCCUCUUCAAGUAUGAUGGAUGAACAAUAAUUUUCCUGCUGUGGGUAAAUCUCCCACCCAUGCCCACAAGAAGCGGCAUGGAGAACAUCACUGAGGAGGAUAUGACUGGAAAAGGCAACUCAUCCAUGCUGAGGACUUACUGGAGCACAGGAACAAAUACAGAUGUACCAAGUUCUGGUGCUAGAGUUCAGCCAGAAAUCAUGACUACCAUCCAGGUUUUUAACAACUUCGACUGUAAAAUGACCUGAAAAAAAAAAAGCCAGUCAAAGUCUUCUCUGCUUUACAUUUGUCUGGCUGUUCUUUGGA